UACGUAGGCAGCGAGCGUUGUUCGGAAUUACUGGGCGUAAAGAGUGUGUAGGCGGUGCUCUAAGUCUGUUGUGAAAUCGCCCGGCUCAACUGGGAGGGUGCGGCGGAAACUGGAGUGCUCGAGUGUGGGAGAGGAAAGCGGAAUUCCUGGUGUAGCGGUGAAAUGCGUAGAUAUCAGGAGGAACACCUGCGGUGUAGGCAGCUUUCUGGACCCCGACUGACGCUGAGACACGAAAGCGUGGGUAGCAAACAGG
rnacentral:rRNA from 1 species